GACGAACGCUGGCGGCGCGCUUAACACAUGCAAGUCGAGCGAGAACCAUGGCUUCGGCCAUGGGGACAGCGGCGAACGGGUGAGUAACACGUGGGUAAUCUGCCCUCGGCACUGGGAUAGCCCGGGGAAACCCGGAUUAAUACCGGAUAGCCUUUCGAGCUCUUGGGCUCGUCAGAAAAGGUAGCUUCGGCCUCCGGCCGAGGAGGAGCCCGCGGCGGAUUAGCUUGGUGGGGAGGUAAAGGCUCACCAAGGCGACGAUCCGUAGGUGGUGUGAGAGCAGGACCAGCAACACGGGGACUGAGACACGGCCCAGACCCCUACGGGAGGCAGCAGUGGGGAAUCUUGCGCAAUGGGCGAAAGCCUGACGCAGCGACGCCGCGUGCGGGAAGAAGGCCUUCGGGUUGUAAACCGCUUUCAGGAGGGACGAAGCCACUCGGGUGAAUAGCCCAGAGGGUGACGGUACCUCCAGAAGAAGCCCCGGCUAACUACGUGCCAGCCGCCGCCGUAAAAC
rnacentral:rRNA from 1 species